rnacentral:sRNA from 1 species
AUGAAAUCUCAGAGUCGUUUUGAUUCGCAUUUCCCCGGAUACUCAGGGCUAUACAGAGCAACCUGUCUUAAAAAACAAACAAACAAACAAACAAAAGACUUUCAAGAAUGGCAAUGACUAGUGACCAGACUCUUCUCUGUAGUUCAACCAGAGAACUCUUCCAAAUGGACUGGAGUUUGGCUCUCAGCCUUCAAGUCAGGCGUCUCGCAAACACCUCUGUCUCCAGCUCCAGUGGUUCUGAUACCUUCUUCUGGCCUCCAAGGGCACAUUGGCAUCUACAUAAA